GUGAGGAAUAUUGGACAAUGGGCGCAAGCCUGAUCCAGCCAUGCCGCGUGCAGGAAGACGCAUCUAUGGUGUGUAAACUGCUUUUGUACGGGAAGAAACACUCCCUCGUGAGGGAGCUUGACGGUACCGUAAGAAUAAGGAUCGGCUAACUCCGUGCCAGCAGCCGCGGUAAUACGGAGGAUCCAAGCGUUAUCCGGAAUCAUUGGGUUUAAAGGGUCCGUAGGCGGUUUAAUAAGUCAGUGGUGAAAGUCCAUCGCUCAACGAUGGAACGGCCAUUGAUACUGUUAGACUUGAAUUACAAGGAAGUAACUAGAAUAUGUAGUGUAGCGGUGAAAUGCUUAGAUAUUACAUGGAAUACCAAUUGCGAAGGCAGGUUACUACUUGUGGAUUGACGCUGAUGGACGAAAGCGUGGGGAGCGAACAGGAUUAGAUACCCGGGUAGUCC
rnacentral:rRNA from 1 species